AGUGAACGCUGGCGGUAUGCCUAACACAUGCAAGUCGAACGGCAGCACAGUAAGAGCUCGCUCUUACGGGUGGCGAGUGGCGGACGGGUGAGGAAUACAUCGGAAUCUACUUUUUCGUGGGGGAUAACGUAGGGAAACUUAUGCUAAUACCGCAUACGACCUACGGGUGAAAUCAGGGGAUCUUCGCACCUUUCGCGUUUGUAUGAGCCGAUGUCGCAUUAGCUAGUUGGCUGGGUAAAGGCCCACCAAGGCGACGAUCCGUAGCUGGCCUGAGAGGAUGAUCGGCCACACUGGAACUGAGACACGGUCCAGACUCCUACGGGAGGCAGCAGUGGGGAAUAUUGGACAAUGGGCGCAAGCCUGAUCCAGCCAUACCGCGUGGGUGAAGAAGGCCUUCGGGUUGUAAAACCCUUUUGUUGGGAAAGAAAAGAAGCAGGUUAAUACCCCGCUGUUCUGACGGUACCCAAAGAAUAAGCACCGGCUAACUUCGUG
rnacentral:rRNA from 1 species